UAAUAUCUAAAAGCAAUCGGUUCCAACGGGGAGCAGUCGUUGGAGGAAAGGGGGAAAGUUCGGUGUAAAUCCGGCGCUGUCCCGCAACUGUAAAGAGAUUUUGCUGUCUCUGAGUCAGGAUGCCCGCCGAUCAGUGUUUAUUUAU
rnacentral:ncRNA from 2 species